rnacentral:rRNA from 1 species
GAUGAACGCUGGCGGCAGGCCUAACACAUGCAAGUCGAGCGGAUGAAGAGAGCUUGCUCUCUGAUUUAGCGGCGGACGGGUGAGUAAUGCCUAGGAAUCUGCCUGGUAGUGGGGGAUAACGUUCCGAAAGGAACGCUAAUACCGCGUACGUCCUACGGGAGAAAGCAGGGGACCUACGGGCCUUGCGCUAUCAGAUGAGCCUAGGUCGGAUUGGCUAGUUGGUGAGGUAAUGGUUCACCAAGGCGACGAUCCGUAACUGUUCUGUGAGGAUGAUCAGUCACACUGGAACUGAGACACGGUCCAGACUCCUACGGGAGGCAGCAGUGGGGAAUAUUGGACAAUGGGCGAAAGCCUGAUCCAGCCAUGCCGCGUGUGUGAAGAAGGACUUCGGAUUGUAAAGCACUUUAAGUUGGGAGGAAGGGCAGUAAGUUAAUACCUUGCUGUUUUGACGUUACCGGCAGAAUAAGCACCGGCUAACUUCGUGCCAGCAGCCGCCGUAAUAC